UAAGUUUUUCUGUGAUUGCAUACCUCGCGAACGCGGCGCGAACUUCGUAACUUUAUGGCCUCUAGUAACUGUGUGAAAACGGGCUUUACUAGUGCCUCGAUCGGAGUACAAAAGUAUAACAAAUCUCAACCGUAGUGCUGAACUCCAAAACGACGCAGAAUACGCGAAAGCGAACGGGAGCAUGGCGGUACUCCACAGUGAAAGUGUUGCUGCCGUCGACUUUCAUUGAAAACUUCGUUCCGCGGCUGUUACCCUGUUGCCACUGAACUUCAGGACGCUGUGGAGAACUUCGAGGGCAUCGUGCACGAUUCAUACCGGUAACGACAUAUUCGAUUCCUUGCGAAGGCAGUUCAAUCGCUCGGAGGCACCGUGACUUCCCAGCAACUGUCGAGCACAAGGAGUUGCAGCAGAGUCGCCUCAACCAUUGUGACUGUUGCAACUAUGUGCAAGCACACAGUUGAGGAGCCACGUCAUUGCCACUACUGCCCUCAGAGUUUAUUGCACAAGAGCAGCCUUAAGUCUCAGCAGUGCAAGCCCCUCGUGUGAAUUAACACAUGAGAACAUGUCAUCACAAUACCACACCAAAGCAGCAUCAAGGCCUUCUAUUUCUCCAUCAAUGGCUGAGGUUGAGAAGUCACUGCAGAGACUCCUCCAUCACUGUCACUUUAUAUGACUAUGAGACUGGUAAGCUGUGUAAUAUGAAAGCACACUUCAAGGUUCAUCCUGGCGAGCAUCCAUUGGAAUACCAUUCGUGCCCUCAGAGCUUCUUACGAAGUCCCAAGCUGAUGGAACACCUGUGCAUCCACGCAGGCGAGAGGUCAUUUCAGUUCCCUUCAUGCCCUCAUAUCUUCUCGCAUAAGUCCAACAUGAAGCAGCACCUGUGCAUUCAUACAGGUGACCGACCACAGCGCCACACCGUCUGCUCCAAGUCCAUUCUUCAGGUGAGUAAUUUUCUCCGAUGAAGUGGAGAAAGCUACUCGCCUGAUGAAAGGACUUGGACCAGACAUAAGAAAAGACAGCACCAUGAUACCAUAGAUUAGGCGAACAGCCCUGUAGAAUGUAUAACUUAAAUGUUGAACUGCAAAGUCAUUUCACCGGGUGUUCCACCC